GAACGGGUGAGUAACACGUGGGUAACCUGCCCAUCAGAAGGGGAUAACACUUGGAAACAGGUGCUAAUACCGUAUAACAAGUAAAACCGCAUGGUUUUACUUUGAAAGGCGCUUUUGCGUCACUGAUGGAUGGACCCGCGGUGCAUUAGCUAGUUGGUGAGGUAACGGCUCACCAAGGCAACGAUGCAUAGCCGACCUGAGAGGGUGAUCGGCCACAUUGGGACUGAGACACGGCCCAAACUCCUACGGGAGGCAGCAGUAGGGAAUCUUCGGCAAUGGACGAAAGUCUGACCGAGCAACGCCGCGUGAGUGAAGAAGGUUUUCGGAUCGUAAAACUCUGUUGUUAGAGAAGAACAAGGAUGAGAGUAAAAUGUUCAUCCCUUGACGGUAUCUAACCAGAAAGCCACGGCUAACUACGUGCCAGCAGCCGCGGUAAUACGUAGGUGGCAAGCGUUGUCCGGAUUUAUUGGGCGUAAAGCGAGCGCAGGCGGUUUCUUAAGUCUGAUGUGAAAGCCCCCGGCUCAACCGGGGAGGGUCAUUGGAAACUGGGAAACUUGAGUGCAGAAGAGGAGAGUGGAAUUCCAUGUGUAGCGGUGAAAUGCGUAGAUAUAUGGAGGAACACCAGUGGCGAAGGCGGCUCUCUGGUCUGUAACUGACGCUGAGGCUCGAAAGCGUGGGGAGCAAACAGGAUUAGAUACCCUGGUAGUCCACGCCGUAAACGAUGAGUGCUAAGUGUUGGAGGGUUUCCGCCCUUCAGUGCUGCAGCUAACGCAUUAAGCACUCCGCCUGGGGAGUACGACCGCAAGGUUGAAACUCAAAGGAAUUGACGGGGGCCCGCACAAGCGGUGGAGCAUGUGGUUUAAUUCGAAGCAACGCGAAGAACCUUACCAGGUCUUGACAUCCUUUGACCACUCUAGAGAUAGAGCUUCCCCUUCGGGGGCAAAGUGACAGGUGGUGCAUGGUUGUCGUCAGCUCGUGUCGUGAGAUGUUGGGUUAAGUCCCGCAACGAGCGCAACCCUUAUUGUUAGUUGCCAUCAUUUAGUUGGGCACUCUAGCGAGACUGCCGGUGACAAACCGGAGGAAGGUGGGGAUGACGUCAAAUCAUCAUGCCCCUUAUGACCUGGGCUACACACGUGCUACAAUGGGAAGUACAACGAGUCGCGAAGUCGCGAGGCUAAGCUAAUCUCUUAAAGCUUCUCUCAGUUCGGAUUGUAGGCUGCAACUCGCCUACAUGAAGCCGGAAUCGCUAGUAAUCGCGGAUCAGCACGCCG
rnacentral:rRNA from 1 species